UACAGAGGGUGCGAGCGUUGUCCGGAAUCACUGGGCGUAAAGGGCGCGUAGGUGGCGCCGCAAGUCCAUGGUGAAAGCUCGAUGGCUCAACCCCGAGUCGGCCGUGCGAACUGUUUUGCUGGAGCACUGUAGAGGCAGGCGGAAUUCCGGGUGUAGCGGUGGAAUGCGUAGAGAUCCGGAAGAACACCGGUGGCGAAGGCGGCCUGCUGGGGCAGUUGCUGACACUGAGGCGCGACGAGCGUGGGGAGCAAACAGG
rnacentral:rRNA from 1 species